CCGCGGUCUGGAAAGUAGGGUGGGGUCUGCGAAAGAGGCUGGAAUGCCAAGGGUUAAGUCCCAGCGCCUCCAGUGGAAGGGGACCGUGAGUUCGCCGCCCGGGUGGAAUUCUAGCCUACCUGCAUGGCCAGCAGCCCUCUCGAUCUGAGUCGUACUUGCUUUCUCGCCUGGCCCACGGGCGACAGGCUCUGAGGCCGAGUUCCCGGACUCGGGUUCUCCUCCUGCCCGGGGUGCUUGUGUGCGUCUGGGGCUGGCCUACAAGUGGGCUGGUGCAUUCCCGCCUAGUGCGUGCUCCACAGCCAGACAAAACUCUGGAAUUGCAAUAAAAUCAGCUGUUGGGGCCAGAUCCAGGAUCUUCCUGUAUAAAGGAAUAUAUAAAGACUUUCUCAGGCGUGAUAACAUGAGUCUGAAAAUUAAAAGGUCUUCUCAGAUCUUCUCAUCUUCCAUUGUAAGAAGCACAGUGUGUCAGCCCCUGGCAAGGAGUUCUGGGUUCAGCAAGAUGACCUUGUCACGGAAUAUGUAAUACAAUUUGGAUCUCAGCAAGAUCAUUUAAAAACUUUCAGGUCCUAUGACUCCAUUGCUCAUGGACUUAGAAGGAAGAAGGUUAUUCAAGGACAGCUUUUCCAAGGACCAGGUUUUAUCAUUCGCUACAAAAUGUGUGAGGUGCUGAGUCAGAGAGCUAGGUUACAAAGACACUUAAUGCACAUGGGAAAGUUUACCAGCAAUGUAAUUAGAUGGCUGACAAUGCCAAAUGGACAAGCAGUGAAAAUGGGAGAGACCAAGAACUGGGGUUGAGCUAGGUCUUUUAGAAAUGAGCCAUCAUUCCAUGUAGGGACUUACUACAUGUUUGGCAUAUAGUAAGUACUCAAUAAUGAUUGUUUAAUGAAUGUUUAGAGUAAAUGGAAUGAUAGAAAAGCAUAUAUGUUUGGCGGGGAGACAAAGACACCAAUUUGACUGCAACAAAGUUUGGGAAUCUGUACACUUUAAAUGAGUGAUUUGUACAUUAUGUGAAUUAUAUCUUAAAGCUGUUUUUUAAAAAAUGUCUUCAGAGGUGUCAUGGAUACAUUUAGUGUGGUAUUGUCAUGGAUUUUGACAUUUUAAAAAGCAGGCUUAUUGAAAUAUAAUUGACAUACAAUAAACUUCAUGUUUCAAGUGCAGAUUUGAUAGUUUGAUCAUUUGAAACUCCCAAGAAAAUCUCUCUUUUUUUUUUUCUUGCCAUAUCACAUUGUGUGUUAUUUCAGGGAGGAAAAGUGACAAUACUGAGGUAAAAAGUAUUGAAAGAGAUGAAAAACCCCAGAAUUUUUAUUAAAAAUUGAGUAUGGUA